rnacentral:tRNA from 1 species
AGGGAAAUAGCUCAGUGGUAGAGCUGCAUGCUUAGCAUGCAUGAGGUCCUGGGUUCAAUCCCCAGUACCUCCA